ACGUGAGCUCUUCCGACCGAUGUUCUCCAACCUCUGGGCGAGAACCUUGGCUAAGAUUUUGGUAUCUGUAUUUAUGAGGGAGAUUGGUCUAUAAGAGGAACAUUGAAUAGGAUCCUUUCCUUUCUUUGCAAUGAGGGUAAUACAGGCUUCUGAGAAAGAUUUUGGGAGGGAUCCUUGCUUAAGAGAUUCUAGAAUAACUGAAUGUAGGAAUGGGGAAAGUAAUGGGGAGAAUUUCUUGUAAAAUUCUGCAGGGAACCCAUCAGGGCCUGGACAUUUACCGGAUUGCAUUGCUGAAACGGCUGACACGAAUUCUGCCUGGGAUAUUGGGAUCUCUAACGCCUCCCUCAGGUUAGGUGUAACUUUGGGUAUGUUAAUACGAUCGAGAAAGUCAAAAGACAAAUUGGUUUCUGAUUCUG